ACUCUAGAAAGAGAAGCUACCGAUUUUCCGUGGAGCAGAAGAACGUCACCCAAGGAUUGAGGACACUGUGGUCUGAUGAAGGAGGCAGGUACAUGGCCUCGGAGAAGCAGGUCAGCAACAGUCUCAGCAACUCUGUCCUGAAGCAGGAAAAGAACAUGGAGGCAGAAAAAAAAGCCACUCACCCCGGCCCGCCCAGCGCCCGGCACCGUGGACCAGAAGAAUCCUCUCCAGUCCUGGUCCUCAAAGAUGUAGGGAAGAAUGCGGGUGAGGAUCCGAGCGCAGUUCAGGAUGGCCUGCUUCUCCCUCUCCGUAGGACAGCCAGACUCUGCUCCUUGCACCAGCUUCUCCACAGCCUGAACCAUCAGGAACCAUAGCAGGACAAAAACAGAUAUUGGCAGCCUCAAAAGGAAGCUGGGAGCAAGAGACAGGAAGAAAAAAGAGAAAGGAAGGGGAGUUGACUCAUUCAUGCCAGUGUAAAAAAAAACAA